CGCCCCAUAUACUAACACGGUCAGGUGGCCAGGCUUUCAACCUGGAGAUACGGGUUCAAGUCCCGUUGGGGUGA
rnacentral:tRNA from 1 species